GGGGGUGAACUGGCUUCGACUUUGAAGUGAGUCUCUCAGUAGCGAGUCGAGGGUCCUAGGGCCUCGUAAAAAACGUAGGAAAACAAUAUAACUGCC
rnacentral:tmRNA from 1 species